AUUGAACGCUGGCGGCAGGCUUAACACAUGCAAGUCGAGCGGAGAUGAGGUGCUUGCACCUUAUCUUAGCGGCGGACGGGUGAGUAAUGCUUAGGAAUCUGCCUAUUAGUGGGGGACAACAUUCCGAAAGGAAUGCUAAUACCGCAUACGUCCUACGGGAGAAAGCAGGGGAUCUUCGGACCUUGCGCUAAUAGAUGAGCCUAAGUCGGAUUAGCUAGUUGGUGGGGUAAAGGCCUACCAAGGCGACGAUCUGUAGCGGGUCUGAGAGGAUGAGCCGCCACCCUGAGACUGGGACACGGCCCAGACUCCUACGGGAGGCAGCAGUGGGGAAUAUUGGACAAUGGGGGGAACCCUGAUCCAGCCAUGCCGCGGGUGUGAAGAAGGCCUUAUGGUUGUAAAGCACUUUAAGCGAGGAGGAGGCUACUGAGACUAAUACUCUUGGAUAGUGGACGUUACUUGCAGAAUAAGCACCGGCUAACUCUGUGCCAGCAGCCGCCGCAGUAA
rnacentral:rRNA from 1 species